GGUAUGUAUUUUAAUCCCGCGAUAAGCCCCGGAAAGUUUAUUGUGAUUGAAAAUAAAUA
rfam:Bacillus sp. FJAT-27997 Scaffold1, whole genome shotgun sequence.